rnacentral:rRNA from 2 species
UACGGAGGGAGCUAGCGUUGUUCGGAAUUACUGGGCGUAAAGCGCACGUAGGCGGUUAUUCAAGUCAGAGGUGAAAGCCCGGGGCUCAACUCCGGAACUGCCUUUGAAACUAGAUAACUUGAAUCCAGGAGAGGUGAGUGGAAUUCCGAGUGUAGAGGUGAAAUUCGUAGAUAUUCGGAAGAACACCAGUGGCGAAGGCGGCUCACUGGACUGGUAUUGACGCUGAGGUGCGAAAGCGUGGGGAGCAAACAGG